rnacentral:rRNA from 1 species
GGCUCUUUGAUAAGAUAAAGAGUUUAAUCUGCCCGGUGAUGAGAAUUUAACGGCUGCGGUAUCCUGACCGUGCGAAGGUAGCAUAAUAAUUUGUCUUAUAAUUGAAGAAUGGAAUGAAUGAUUUAACUAAGGUAUAGCUGUCUUUUAUAUAUUUAUUAUAAAUUGACUUUUAGGUUAAAAGGCCUAAAUUAGAUUAAAGGACGAGAAGACCCUAUUGUGCUUGUAUAGGAGGAUUAAAGAGAAAGUAUAUUAAGAAAAUAAGUAAAUUAGUGCUAAGUUUUAGUUGGGGCGACUAAGGAACAUAAAAAGCUUCCUGUGGAAUAAGUUAACUGUGGUUAUAGAUCCAAGGUGGAUUUUGAAUUAAGAAUAAGUUACCAUAGGGAUAACAGCGUUAUUUUUUUGGAGAGUUCUAAUCGAGAAAAAAGUUUGCGACCUCGAUGUUGGAUUAGGGGAUAGUAGAGGUUGUAGGGGCUUCUAAAUUUAGUCUGUUCGACUAUUAAAAUCUU